UGCGUCCUUAGUUCAGUUGGUAGAACGUCGGUCUCCAAAACCGAAUGUCGGGGGUUCAAGUCCUCCAGGGCGCGUC
rnacentral:tRNA from 1 species